rnacentral:rRNA from 1 species
AUGCAAGACCUACUCAUUCUCAUCUUGAGCUUGAUGCUCCUCCUCGUCGCCAUGGCCGUCCGGCGGCAUGGGCAUGCAUCGAGCAAGGCGGUCUACACGCGCCUCGCCACCAGCGUCAAGUCGACUUUCGCGGGCUGGCUCCGGCAGCCAGCCAUCGUCAUCAGGGACCGCGCGACAGCGCACCGCCUUCUCGUCCGUGGCUGCGUCGGCGGCUCCUUCUCCAACCGCCCGCCAUCCAUGGCGCCAAGCGCCGUCCUCUCGCACCGCCGCUACCACAACCUAACAUCGGCUCCAUACGGCCCGUUCUGGCGCGUCACGCGCCGCAACCUCACCUCGGAGGUUCUCCACCCACUGCGCCUCCACCGCUACGCCGCCGCCCGCCGCGACGCGCUCUGCGAUCUCGUCGCGGACCUCAAAAAUCAGUGCACGUCCAGCCCCGACGGCCUAGUCCUCGCGGCGGAGAGCAUCCGCACCGCCAUGUUCGGCCUGCUCACGACCAUGUGCUUCGGCGACGGCGUCGACGCGGGCCUCAUCCGCGCGAUGGCCGACGCCCAGCACGACCUCGUCCAGUUCUUCCCUGAGCUGCGCGUCUUCGCGAAGUUGCCGGUGGCGGCUAGGUUGAUCCACCGCCAACGGUGGAGCAAGCUAGUGGCGCUGCGGCGGAAGCAGGAGGAGAUGUACCUCCCGCUCAUCCACGCCCGCCGCAGCCGGCAACGCAAAUCUGGCGAAACGCCGGCGUAUGUGGACACGCUCAUUGACCUCCGGGUCCCGGACGACCACAACAAACGCAGGAGGCCGCGUAGGCUCACCGACGGCGAGCUCGUGGGCAUGUGCUCCGAGUUCCUUGGUGCAGGAACUGAAACUGUGGCCGCGGCGCUGCAGUGGAUCAUGGCGAACCUGGUGAAGCGCCCACACAUGCAAGAGGCUGUCCGUAGGGAGAUCAACGCUGCUGUUGACGCGGACGCCGAGGAGGUGGGCGAGGAGGUUCUUGGACUAGAGUACCUCAACGCCGUCGUCAUGGAGGUGCUCCGGCUGUACCCCACCGCGACCUUGGUGUUUAGGCAGGUGUCGGAACAAGACGACAUCAUUCAUGAUGGCCAGCGUAUUCCGACGGGCACCAAUGUGCUCUUCCCGCUGAAAUCUCUGGCGCAAGACAAGGCGACGUGGGUCAACCCAGAUGAGUUCAAGCCAGAACGGUUCCUAGCCGACAAAGGUGGGGAAAGCAUCAGCCUUGUUGCAGCCGCUGGAAGCGGUGGGGAGAUCAGGAUGAUACCGUUCGGUGCCGGCCGAAGGGUGUGCCCCGGCAUGGCCGUCGCCAUGCUCCACAUGGGAUACUUCACGGCCAACCUCGUGAGGGAGUUUGAAUGGAGGGAGGCGAAGGGGGAGCUAGCUGUCUAUCUCCGCCCGCAUUUCGGGUUCUUCACUGUCAUGAAGCACCCGUUGCGUGCUCACCUCGCUGUGCUUACGCGACGGGAGGGGGCUCGAAAGGAGGAGUAA